rnacentral:rRNA from 1 species
GACGAACGCUGGCGGCGUGCUUAACACAUGCAAGUCGAACGGUGAAGCCUAGCUUGCUAGGUGGAUUAGUGGCGAACGGGUGAGUAAUACGUGAGUAACCUACCUUUAACUCUGGGAUAAGCCUGGGAAACUGGGUCUAAUACCGGAUACGACCAAUCUCCGCAUGGGGUGUUGGUGGAAAGCGUUAUGUAGUGGUUAUAGAUGGGCUCACGGCCUAUCAGCUUGUUGGUGAGGUAACGGCUCACCAAGGCGACGACGGGUAGCCGGCCUGAGAGGGUGACCGGCCACACUGGGACUGAGACACGGCCCAGACUCCUACGGGAGGCAGCAGUGGGGAAUAUUGCACAAUGGGCGCAAGCCUGAUGCAGCGACGCCGCGUGAGGGAUGACGGCCUUCGGGUUGUAUGCCUCUGUUAGCAGGGAAGAAGAGAGAUUGACGGUACCUGCAGAGAAAGCGCCGGCUAACUACGUG